rnacentral:tRNA from 1 species
GGGUCCUUAGCUCAGUGGAUAGAGCAACCGCCUUCUAAGCGGUCGGCCACUGGUUCGAAUCCAGUAGGACCCG